UCUGAACUUGUUUGAUGAGCUGAAGAACUCAAUCUUCAACAUUCUGUUACCCUACUGGGCAGCUUUCCAAAAACAAUGGCUCAAACGGUCCCCAGAAAGUGCACGAAAAGCCCCAGUGCUGAGGAACCAAGUACUCCUCCAGAAGAGACAAGCUAUGCUUAAAGGACCAAACGAACCUUUCCAUCUCCCACCACUCCAGCACUCUAUGAGAGUCCAGGGAAAUCACUUUCAGAAUGGGUUCACUUAUACUUUCUCCAUCAGCAAAGGCCUCAUCCUGCAGGUCGUGAGCAAAGAAAGCAUAACCGAUAGUAAACCUAGGGCUUCUAUAUUUGGAGACAGGAAGAAAUCAACUGGAGUUCACUUUCCUUCACUUCACAAUAUAGCAGGGAUGACUGAACCAUGACAAAAGAAGGUAUCUAAGGGAGGAUGCCCCUGAAGGCUACUUGUUUAGGAAUGUGCAUUGAGAGGGGACUGUUGUGCUUGUGGCAUACUCGUUGGGUUUCCAUAGAUAUUUGUUCCAUCAGGGCAGUGACAUUGCUGGACAAGAAGGGUCAUUUAGGUUGAUGUGACAACCUUGUUCUUACGUUUAAAGAUGGAUGCUGAACAGAGGUGUAAAACCAUAGUGCCUGGAGCGGGAGUCUUUAUUUGGCUCUACUUGUUUCGGCAUGUGUCUUUUUCAGGAGACUAACUCGCAAAAAGCUUUCUCAAAUAUUGUUUUAAAAAAGCCCUUUUCCAAAGUAAGCAGCUGAAUCUUGGCUCAUUUCUUACAUCCUAAGAAGUUUACUUUAACACUGAGUGGCAGCCAGAAGUAGCCUACAGACUUGUUUUGAGUUAUUGCUAGCUUGAGUUAACAGAGGGUCAUAUAGUGUGAGCAAAAUUAUGUGGAAGAUGGCUCAGUUGAAAAUAUGCGUGUGUAUGCACAUGCACACUCCUUGCUGUUGGCUGGAAUUAUGUAGCAAAAAAAUUAACAGUGUGUUCUAAAAAGCUGAAAAUCAUUUGGUUGCCAAGGAAUUAGAGAGACAGCAGAGUCUCCAGAUUCACCCAGAAAAUCCAUUAUCAUUUUAUAGGUACCUUCUUCCUUAAGAGCAAAUAAGGUAACUGACAGCUUGCCUGAGGAGUUGAGGGGAGAAUCAUCCUGCACCCAGCAAAUUAAGUGAGGCAGUGUUUUGGAUUAAAAUCUUAUUAGUAGGAUGCAGCUGCUGCUUUCCCAGUCAUCUGUUUUUGUCCUUCUUAACCAAGUUGACAACUACCUGACAUUACCUGCUUCUGAGGAAGCAGGUCACCUGAAACAGGGAAAUGUUUUUCUUUUCUGUAUAAUGCAUUCCCUAUUUCAGGUUACCUGCUUUGCUGGUCCUGAAUCUGAGAGUUUUCAGUUCCUCCCCUGAGCAAGUAAAGCAACUGGACAGUAACAGAGAAGCUGUACCCAAUGUUCUAGAAAAACUGGGCUUGGUAGGGCCCAGGGGAAGGGCAGGGACAGUGGGAUUGCUGUGGGCGAUGAUGUCAUCAGUGGUGCCACAUGGCUCCACUCCCUCUCAGCUGCAAGGCGAGCUGGGGAAUAAGGUCUUGCUGCUAAGAAGAUCACCAAAAGGGCAAGAGAAUGUUGCUUCGCUUCUAACAUGCUCCAGUGUGCAUCUUCCACUCACUGGUCCCAUCCUUGCUGUCUGUGACGGCUGCAGAAGAAUUCCUUAAAUUUUGCACCCUUUUUCGGUGCUUCAUGUUAAUCAGACAGGAGUCAGGCACGUUUCUAGAAAGCACUAGUCAUUUUAAAGCAAUGUGACCAAAGGAUAGUCUACCAGUUACUGAACUUCAAGUCCCAUGAUCCUCAGCCAGACUGUUCACUGUCAAGGAAUUGUGGGACUUGUGGUCCAGCAGUAUUUAGAGGGCCACUUUGGUCACCUCUUGGUGCCAUCCAGGCAUUCUGUCUAACAUUUGUCUGAAAAUCAUAAGCAGGUGAAUGCUUAAUUGUGAUAACCAAAUUCUAUGAACCGCUCACUCUUAACAAACCUGUAAGGUAUUUUGCAGAGUUAACACCUAUCCAUAGUAUGGAAAUGACUUAGAGACCUCCAGAUCAGUAAAAGCUCAUAAAGCCAGGAUGAUGGAGGCACUGUAAUCUCUUUUAGGUUUCAGAAGCCAGAGAAGGAAAUACAGGGGCUCCAGCAAGAAAACAUCUUCUUCUAGCACCGUGAGCAAUGUAGUACAGUUGCAAUCAGUGAGGCUAUUAUUACAUAAACUGUGUUGCAUCAAGCACUUUGAACAUAUGAGGACAAAGUAGCACCAUUAAACAUCAGUCUAAUUGUACUGUACUGCUCAAUUCCUUUACCACAGGAACAGAUAUCUGUAAAUUAUCAGAGCAAAAUCUUCUGGAUGUUUGGCAGUAUAUAAAUGAAGCCAUCAUCACAUAAAAAAGGGGCAGUGGCAGAAGGCAUUUGAAAACCUUGGAGACAAACUCUUACUCAUACUCAGAGCCAUUUAGGCUGAAGAAUGGGAUAGAAAUGCAAUAAAGGACACUCAGAGCUGCA
ensembl:lncRNA